GACGAACGCUGGCGGCGUGCUUAACACAUGCAAGUCGAACGGAAAGGCCCUGCUUUUGUGGGGUGCUCGAGUGGCGAACGGGUGAGUAACACGUGAGUAACCUGCCCUUGACUUUGGGAUAACUUCAGGAAACUGGGGCUAAUACCGGAUAGGAGCUCCUGCUGCAUGGUGGGGGUUGGAAAGUUUCGGCGGUUGGGGAUGGACUCGCGGCUUAUCAGCUUGUUGGUGGGGUAGUGGCUUACCAAGGCUUUGACGGGUAGCCGGCCUGAGAGGGUGACCGGCCACAUUGGGACUGAGAUACGGCCCAGACUCCUACGGGAGGCAGCAGUGGGGAAUAUUGCACAAUGGGCGGAAGCCUGAUGCAGCAACGCCGCGUGCGGGAUGACGGCCUUCGGGUUGUAAACCGCUUUCGCCUGUGACGAAGCGUGAGUGACGGUAAUGGGUAAAGAAGCACCGGCUAACUACGUGCCAGCAGCCGCGGUGAUACGUAGGGUGCGAGCGUUGUCCGGAUUUAUUGGGCGUAAAGGGCUCGUAGGUGGUUGAUCGCGUCGGAAGUGUAAUCUUGGGGCUUAACCCUGAGCGUGCUUUCGAUACGGGUUGACUUGAGGAAGGUAGGGGAGAAUGGAAUUCCUGGUGGAGCGGUGGAAUGCGCAGAUAUCAGGAGGAACACCAGUGGCGAAGGCGGUUCUCUGGGCCUUUCCUGACGCUGAGGAGCGAAAGCGUGGGGAGCGAACAGGCUUAGAUACCCUGGUAGUCCACGCUGUAAACGGUGGGUACUAGGUGUGGGGUCCAUUCCACGGGUUCCGUGCCGUAGCUAACGCUUUAAGUACCCCGCCUGGGGAGUACGGCCGCAAGGCUAAAACUCAAAGGAAUUGACGGGGCCCCGCACAAGCGGCGGAGCAUGCGGAUUAAUUCGAUGCAACGCGUAGAACCUUACCUGGGUUUGACAUGGAUCGGGAGUGCUCAGAGAUGGGUGUGCCUCUUUUGGGGUCGGUUCACAGGUGGUGCAUGGCUGUCGUCAGCUCGUGUCGUGAGAUGUUGGGUUAAGUCCCGCAACGAGCGCAACCCUUGUUCACUGUUGCCAGCACGUUAUGGUGGGGACUCAGUGGAGACCGCCGGGGUCAACUCGGAGGAAGGUGGGGAUGACGUCAAGUCAUCAUGCCCCUUAUGUCCAGGGCUUCACGCAUGCUACAAUGGCUGGUACAGAGAGUGGCGAGCCUGUGAGGGUGAGCGAAUCUCGGAAAGCCGGUCUCAGCUCGGAUUGGGGUCUGCAACUCGACCUCAUGAAGUCGGAGUCGCUAGUAAUCGCAGAUCAGCAACGCUGCGGUGAAUACGUUCCCGGG
rnacentral:rRNA from 1 species